UGCCAGCAGCCGCGGUAAUACGGAGGGUGCAAGCGUUAAUCGGAAUUACUGGGCGUAAAGCGCGCGUAGGUUGAUUGGUCAGUCAGAUGUGAAAGCCCCGGGCUCAACCUGGGAACUGCAUUCGAUACUGGCAGACUAGAGUAUAGUAGAGGCAAGUGGAAUUCCGGGUGUAGCGGUGAAAUGCGUAGAUAUCCGGAGGAACAUCAGUGGCGAAGGCGACUUGCUGGACUAAUACUGACGCUGAGGAGCGAAAGCGUGGGGAGCAAACGGGAUUAGAUA
rnacentral:rRNA from 1 species